AGACUGCGUUUGAAACUGGUUAUCUUGAGUGUAACAGAGGAGAGUGGAAUUCCUAGUGUAGUGGUGAAAUACGUAGAUAUUAGGAAGAACACCAGUGGCGAAGGCGACUCUCUGGGUUAACACUGACGCUGAGGUACGAAAGCUGGGGGAGCGAACGGGAUUAGAUACCCCGGUAGUCCCAGCCGUAAACGAUGGAUACUAAGUGUUGGAGGUUCGAAUCCUUCAGUGCCGGAGUUAACGCAUUAAGUAUCCCGCCUGGGGAUUACGGUCGCAAGACUGAAACUCAAAGGAAUUGACGGGGGCCCGCACAAGCGGUGGAGCAUGUGGUUUAAUUCGAAGCAACGCGAAGAACCUUACCGAGAAUUGACAUCCCGUGACCAUCUAUGAGAGUAGA
rnacentral:rRNA from 1 species